rnacentral:rRNA from 1 species
AAGCUCGUAGUUGAAUUUCGGGGUUAGUAGGUUGGUCAUGCCUCUGGUAUGUACUGGUCUCACUGAUUCCUCCUUCCUGAUGAACCGUAAUGCCAUUAAUUUGGUGUUGCGGGGAAUUUGGACUGUUACUUUGAAAAAAUUAGAGUGUUUAAAGCAAGCUAACGCUUGAAUACAUUAGCAUGGAAUAAUGAAAUAGGACGUUCGAUCCUAUUUUGUUGGUUUCUAGGAUUGACGUAAUGAUUAUAGGGAUAGUUGGG